rnacentral:rRNA from 1 species
GUGGGGAAUAUUGCACAAUGGAGGAAACUCUGAUGCAGCGAUGCCGCGUGAGGGAAGAAGGUCUUCGGAUUGUAAACUCCUGUUGUUGAGGAAGAUAAUGACGGUACUCAACAAGGAAGUGACGGCUAACUACGUGCCAGCAGCCGCGGUAAAACGUAGGUCACAAGCGUUGUCCGGAAUUACUGGGUGUAAAGGGAGCGCAGGCGGGAAGACAAGUUGGAAGUGAAAUCCAUGGGCUCAACCCAUGAACUGCUUUCAAAACUGUUUUUCUUGAGUAGUGCAGAGGUAGGCGGAAUUCCCGGUGUAGCGGUGGAAUGCGUAGAUAUCGGGAGGAACACCAGUGGCGAAGGCGGCCUACUGGGCACCAACUGACGCUGAGGCUCGAAAGUGUGGGUAGCAAACAGGAUUAGAAACCCGAGUAGUCC